AUGUUUCCUUCAUCAGCACAUAUACUAAAAUUGGAACAAUACAGAGAUUAGCCUGGCUCCUGUGAAGGAUGACAUGCAAAUAUAUGAAGUGUUUCAUACUUAU
ensembl:snRNA U6 U6 spliceosomal RNA